rnacentral:tRNA from 1 species
CGCCCGUUCGUCUAGCGGACGAGGAUACUGCUCUUUCAAGGCCAGGAGGAGGGUUCGACUCCCUCACGGGCGA